UCAUCUCAGCUCCCAACUGCACCUUCUAGCCUCCGGAACCUCGUGCUCGCUGCUCAGCCGCCCGCCCGGAUCCCUUUGGCGGGAGCACCGUGCGGACGGCGGCCGCGGCGGGAAGGCGUUCGCCAUGCCCAAAUUGCCAAAAACCAAAGGAGGGAAGCAAGAGAAGAAAGCCGUCCAUCCGUACAGCAGGAAAGCUGCCCAGCUCGCGAGGGAAGCGCACAAAAAGGACAAGAAAGAAAAGUUGAAGACUGAGAAAGCUUUACGUCUGAGUAUUAUUGGAGAAAAACUGCAAUGGUUCCAGAGUCACCUUGACCCCAAUAAAACUGAAUACACAAAGAAGGAAGCGUGUGAACUAAUUGAAGAGUAUAUGGAACGGUUCAGUGCCGAGUUGGAGCAGAUUGAGUUACGAAACAGUAUUAAGGGUAGACAGGGAAGACAGCAUGGAUCAAGGGAAGCUGUCAUCAAGCAGACCAUGGAACGUGAAAGACUGCUCUAUGAAGGCUAUGGGAUAGAAAUCCCAGACAUUGUGAACAGCAAGCACCUUAAAUUUUUCAGGGAGUGGGAUGGUGAUCUGAAGAAGCUGCCAAACAUCAAAAUGAGAAAGCUGUCAUUUAGGGAUGCUGUUUGCAUUCACACUGAGGUGUCAGAUGUGGAAGCUGAAGAAGUGAAUAAAACAGAAGAUGUGGCAUCAUGAAGAUUCAGGAGCUGGAACGGCUGAAGGGAAUUUGAAUUAGAAUGCGACUGACUGCCAUGUGACCAAACUUCAGACUGAGGAACAGGAGAGUUCUGCCAUCUCAGCGUGGCAGGCAGAAGAGUAUUUGAGUGUCACUAGCAGGGGUAGCACUGCAUGGGACAUCCCAGAAAGGCAGGAGUGCUGAACUGGGAACAUGUCUUCACAAGGAUUCCCGGGAAUGAAGAAUUAGGAAGAAGAGUUCUGUUCUUUAGCUAUUUGUGAAUGACACCUCAAGCCGUUUUGUUGCAGUACAGCCACAACAUGUUGCUAACAGACAAGUCAAAAGCUGAAUGUUUAUUUUGACUUUACCUGAUCCACAGCUGAGAAGAAAACACAAACGUUAGCUUGUAAUAUUCAAACCAUUCUGAGAUAGUCUCAGUUGCUUACAAUUAGAGGAAGGCAGUGGUGAAGCAGCCUUCCCAUAAAAUACAAACUUAAGAAGUGCAGCUCCACUGAGGAGUAAAUGCUUGCCUUCUAAACCAGACAGAAGAAUAUGACAUUUACUAGCAAAAUGCCUUGAUUCUGAUGAACGAUCUUGCAGCCCAUAGCUGGAACACAGCAAGUGCAAAGUGUGAUACAACAGUGCCACCCAUCUCCCAGCCAUGCAAACACUCACUUGGCCUGCAGCUGGGAAGCAGCACAAGAAGCUUUGGUUUGAGGAAGUAACAAACUUCCCAAAUUGCUUAUGGCCGCUGUUGGAAAUGGCAUCCUAUGCUAAGUAGAUCUUUAAGCUGAACCAAGUUGGCUGCUGAUUUUUAAAGAUAAGUCUGGAAAAACUGGAGGCAUUAAAAAAGGCAAUAAAACACAGAACCUCAGGUUCACAUAGUUUGUGUUAGUAGCAUACAGUGGUUAGAAAGGACUUUAUCACUACAGUCAUAUCGUGUCUUAACAGAGACCAGGUUACACAGUGUUUGACCUGCAGACUUUGACCAUUGUUGCAAUGAAAAAUUCAACUCAAGCCUUGCAAGACGCUUUCUUUGCCACAGAAAUAAUUGUCUUCGUCCUUAAGGAAGAAAGGAUUCUACUUCAACACUUUGUGUAGCUUUAGAUGCUUUGUGGAAGUUCAGUGAAGAAUACAAAGACAAAUGAACUGGUAAUUAAACAGAUUCUUUCAGUCAUCUCUUAUACUAAGCUUCUGUUCUACUGAAGGGAAAAUUCUAUGCUGAAUUUUCUAUUGCCAUGCGUAUCAGCAGCUCACGAUAGCCUUUCUGUUCUCUGUAAUACACUCAAAAGCCUUUGGGAGUUCAUCUGAAUGCAAAGUCAAAUCUUUUCCAUGCAGACUUUGAAAAUUUAAAAAGAAGAAUGUUGAUCUCAAUAAUAUAAAUGUAAACAUUUUGUAGGUGGAAAAAUUUACAACAGGCCAAAUAGUUUAAAUAAAAGAAAAGACAGUUUCGUCAAGCUUGUGCUGAGAUUUACAAAAAGGGGAGAGCAAUACAGCAGAAAUGGGCUAAAGCAGGCCUUUCUUGCUAACAUCCCGUGAUCACAGAAUCAUUAAGGUUGGAAAGACCGAUAAGAUACUCCAGUUCAACCAUCAAUCCAUGCCUGUGACCACUCUAGACCACGUCACUCAGUGCCACAUCUUCCCUUUUCUUCAACACUUCCAGUGACAGUGACACCUCCCCGUGCAGCCCAGCCCAUUCCAGUGCCUCACCAAUCUUUCUGAGAAGAAAUGUUUCUUAAUAAUGAACCUGAAACUCCCCUGGCACAACUUCAGGCCAUCACCUCCUGUCUGAUUGCUGUUACGUGGGAAAGAGACCACCCCCACCUUGCUACAUCCUCUUUUCAGGGAGUUGUAGACAGUGAUAGCGUCUCACCUGAGCCUCCUCCAGAUAAAACAAUCCUAGCUCCUUCAGCCACUCUUUAUGAGACUUGUGUUCCAGACCCUCUGCAGCUUUGCUGUCCUUCUCUGGAUGUGCUCCAGGGCCUCAAUGUCUCUCUUGUAGUGAGAGACACAAAACUGAAUGCAACACUCGACAUGUGGCUGCACAGCAAGUCUUGCUUCUUCUCUGGCCCCUUCUCCCACCAGAAAGUGUACGUGCGUCUGUCAUAGCCAUGUUACCACACCAGAAAUAAGGUGGCCGAGAACAGAAUGGUAGAGGCCACCGGGUGGUUACAGAGCUGGAACAUCACACCCAAACAACUGCAAUAAAAAAGAAGGGCACAGGGAGGAUCUUGGUCACUGGAAUGGAUGCAAGGGGGGUCUGAGCUCUUGGGAGCAGUUUACAGCUGCUCAGUGGCACUCAAGGCAAUGCUGCUGCCUCAGCUCCAGCUGUAGUCCCAGUUGUCCUUCUACUCGAGUCACCGCGGUCUGAGCUUAGACAGGGAAGUCAAAUUAUAACAUUCAUCCAGUAGUCCUGGUGAUCCCUGUGGUAGAUGAGGUAAUUUUGUUGUCCUAAACACGUAUUGUAGCUUGGAUGAACAGUGAGCGUUGUGACUGCUGUCAUUCUCUGCUAGAUGUGUGAUCUGCUAGCAAUUUAAAUGAGCAAUGUGCUAUUUUAGGACUUUUGCAGUAGGCUUAAAUCUAACAUUUAAAUGUUAAUGUUCGCACAGACUUGUUUGGACAAAAGCAAAAACAGAUGAAGUAAAAACUGCUUGAAAGUCCAUAGCAAAGGCUUUGAAACAACAAUAUACUGGACAGGAAAAGCAUCAAGUCCUUUUACUUGUGCUCUGUUGACCAAGGCUCCACGUAUGCUAAAGCUGGAUGGGUGCAUUUGGCAGCUGCUGCCACAUCGUAGGUAUGCCUCCUUAACUCCCAUUAGAUUAAAGCAUGGUGGUAAUCCCCAGCUUCCUCAAUUCCCACAGCUACAUGAAGCUGCAUCACAUUUUUGCUAAUGACUGAAAUAAGAGUGCCAGUGCAAUUUCCUCGGAAGCAUGUAUCCCAGGGAAACUUGCACCGUGCUCUGCGAACCACUGGAGGGCGGUGGGAGACAACAUACGUGCUGCAGAAGUUCCUAGCAAGCCAGGGCAAAACAAGUGUCAAGGGAAACAAACUGGAUUGCUUUGGCUGUCUGAAAACCAAACGGCUCUUCCCAGCCCGAUCAGCACUUACAGCUGCUUCUAAAACACGCCAUGCAAUCGAGCCCGAGUUCUGUGCUUCACUGUCAAGAGGUCGGUAACAAACUUGUGCCCUGCUGUACAUUUCUACGUUGUGUUUUGCUCCUUACCAACCAUCUUAAUCAGAAAUUUAGAGGAAACAGUUGCUGGCUUCAUAACUCACUCUUGCAAUUAAAAACGAGUCCUCUGGGGGAGAGAGAGAAAAGAUGUGAACAGCCUCGUACCCAAGGAACGUCUAAAUCAGGCUCUGUCAAACCACUUCCCCUUCCUGUCACACAGCCUGAGAAAAUCCCAGAUGUUUGUUCUGAAGGACCCAAUUUGCCACCCCACGUGACAUUAAUAAAACCUCCGUUAAUCAACAUGCAACAAAUAGAUUGGGAUAUUUUUUAAUAUCCUCUUCAGCCCGAGGGUCUGAAGAUGCUGCUUCGUAUCCGAGAAAUACCAGUACAGCCUUUCGACUUACAGAGAGAAGCACAUGCACAGUUUUAGUUCUCUCCUGCACACGGAGCUUUGUGUGACACGAAGCAGUGUCAGGAUGCCCCCAGUGCAGGAACAACAGCUUUGCACCGUUCACACAACGCUGUUCCUGUUCCACAGAACUGUCCUCUGCAAGCUUUGCUGCCUGUAUUCCUUUGCCCACUGUCAGACUGCAGAUUUACAAUUCUGUGUCCUCGUGUCAGCUCCUGCUCGGGGUAACAAUCCUUGGGCACCAAAUUUUGUCUGCACAGACUUCCUGGAGCAAUUCUCAAUCUACUCCAGGUUUGCAGAUUCAUGUUUCAAAACAAAAGGUCCUUUUUUUCUGCAGAGGCUCAUGACCAAAGAUGCCAAAGUGAACGUGAAGUUAAUGAGCUGCUUAGCCAGAGAAUGAGUGCCUGGACUUUUGACUCCCAGGCAUUUGCAGGAACCUUAUUUUUAAAUUACACGUGAGGAGGCUUCAUAGAGAAAUAUGGAGCAGGCAUGGCAUUCUUAAUAGCAAAUAUUCUUCCUGUUCUGACAUUAUACAGCCAUUAUUUAGCAAAGAAAUGGCAAUGGAUACAAUGCAUACAGAUUCCCUUCUGCUCUCACAGCCGAAGUCAUGCAACAUUUUCUAAAGAAAGUCUUCGAACCAACCUCAAUCUUGAAAUAAUCAUGCAAAAUGUAGGCUAAUUUCGUUAGGGGCUGUCAUAGAAACUGCAUUUUGCACACAGGUUAGGAGUACUCAGAAAAGCACCUUUCUUUUCUCAAAAUAGGCUGAAGGAUCCAGGCUGUGUUUUUAAAACAGCUCCCAUGGUCUGGAGCAGCGUACAGAGCGGUGAGCUGAGCAGGGAAGAUAUGUCAGCAGUGGGCACAUGUCUGCAGCUUAGAGUUAUUUAUUGUCUGUGGGGAAGGGAGGGCUCUUUGGUGGCCUGUUGCAGUCCUAAUUGGCUCAGGCUCACUGCUAUCAAACGACAGCUGGAGGAAAGCAGCUCAACAGUAGUUUGCAGGAAUGGGAUUUGUGCAAUGGGUGGAAGAGGAAGAAAUAACAGUAAUGAAAGACAACGGGGUUCCCCGCAUCAGAGGAACGAGCCAGCCUCACGCAGAUCUGAAGUAUCGAUCAGAGAUGAGACUUUAAUCGUUGUAAUUUAAGGAAAAGCAUUUUGGAGCACACUGUGCUAUUUAAACAACGUGUGGUUACAGUCUGUACCCGAGGGACUGCAGCUUAAAGAAGGAAAAAGCAUGCCUCGCUGCAUCGUGCUCCAAGUGGAGCACCUGUCAUGCAAACAGCACGUAGCAAGUCUCCUGGCUGAAACUGAAAGGAAUGGGCCAUGAAACCUCCUUGUUCUGUUCCCCAAACAUUUCCAGAGUGUGUUCAGAAAGAACUCAGUGAGUUCACUGAGACACAGAAAACACUUUUGCGAUCGGCUAUGUCAAAAGAUGCAUCCCAGAGAAAGAACUCCUGAAAGAACCAGAGUAAGAACCCAGCCACUAAGCACAAAAAUAACAGAAACAAAAAUGUCAACCCCCCCACCCAAUGUCAUCUGGUGUAUUACAUGGCCAUAUCCAUGCACAGCCCUACCUUGACCUAGUUAGCUCAUUAGAUUAACUGCUACAAAUCCUCCUCUGGCAAACGUGCCUCAAGUUUACAUAAAAUCUAUUUCUGUCCCCCAUGUGACACUACACAAACCCAGCUGGAGUGCAAAUUAACGCCUGUGUUGUGUUUUAAACAACUAUUUUAAAAGUUUAAACCUCAGGUGCACCUCUAAAGACAAACACCUUAAUUCCCUUUUAUGUGCAAUACGCAUGAGCUACUUAAUGAAAAAUCUAACUUGGAUGCAUACUCUGAGAUUAUCACCUGCAUAGGACCAGCUUUAUCAUAAUGAAGACAUCCCUGUAUUUCUUUUCAAUGCAACAGCUAAAAAGGCUGGACUUGAGUGACAGAAUCAGUUGAGCACACUUCACAAACUUACGGGAUCUCUGACUGUACGUCGUCAAUUAGCAGACCCUUAAAAAGUGCAAAGCAGGGAUAUUAAGCAAUUUGAAAAGAUCAUUUCUAAAAUGAAGUAGCUGUUUUUGCAAUCUGGAAGUACCAUUGAGAAUACUUGUCAUUUACCAACCAGAAGAACUUCAGUACCUGCAUCCCAAUCAUUCCAACACAAACUAGAUGAAGAAAUACCACAUUUUGGCAAUAUAGGAGUUGCCAGAUCUUAUGUCCUUGUCAUACAUAUUCUGUCUCUGACAGUGGCUAACACCAGAUACUUCAGAGAAAUGUGUAAGAAACCCCGUGGCAAAUAGUUAUACCACAAACUCUCCAUACUGCAAGAUUCUUCCUAGCUCCUAUCCACAAGAAAGUAAUUUACAUUAUUACAUAGAAUGUAAAUGUAUUAUCUGAAGCGUUUACUUUCCAGGGUUCCUCUGAAUGCUGAAACAACAUAACUUUCUUUCCUUAAUAGAGGUCUACAUGACCAGCCUCUGUUACUAUCAUAAGCUUUUAUUUUAAAAUUGCUUCUCUGUUCCUUCCACUGUCAUUCCAUAGCGUAGGUACUGCAAUCACAGUCCAGGCCUCAAAAAAAAACUUGAACUAACUUAGACCAAAAUAAAGAUCAACCUAAUUACCAUGCUAAAAAGCAUUUUAAUUAAUUUUUCGAUUAUAAUUUUGCUUCGAGGCCAUUUAAAAUGAGAUUACUUUUUCCAGCCAAAGCGGUUGAGGGGGCUGCAUUUUGUGGUUUGUGCUCUAUGAUGACUGAACAGCUGUGACAUGUCCAGUGCUGGACUCUAAACGCCAAGUGAUGAGGCCAAAGCAGCCCCAAGUCCUUCUUCCAGUAGAGCAGCCGUAGCAAACCACCUCUCAGGAGCUCACGCUAGGGUCUCUGUCUCUAAACAUCAAAUCACAUGGGCUGCCUUCACAUAUCUGAGAGUAUUUGGGUCUUAAAAAAGCAAAAGAAAGCUAACAGAGCAAAAGAGAAAUAGGAAAAGAAAUCAGAGAGGUGGAUGGCAGCGUGCCGAAGGUCAGCAUCCCACCAGACGCUAUCGUACGCCUCUGCACCUUCUUCAGUCUUUUCCAAUUACUACCAAAUUCCCAGAAGAAUGAAUCUUCAUUGUGUUCCCUUAGGCACACACUUCCAGUUUAUGACCUUAAGUUUGUUAAUGAGAAGUCUUUACCUGAAUCAUUUUCUAUUCAACACUCAUUACACUGCUUAAUUUCCUCGGUAUCUAAUUGUCUAGCCUGCUGAGAAAUAUCUUGAAACGUGCAUUUCAAAAUCAGAGCUGAUGAAAUGAAACUGAUGACAACUGAAAAGCUAAAUCAAUGCCCUUUUUCUUUAGCUGUGGUUGUAAACAGUGCACAAUGUCUUCUCCAGAAGUUACAACAGAAUAGUCCACCUAUUUUCCCUUGUUUGCCUUCUCUUAGUGCAAGCAUGAAAAUUCACAUUACUGCCUUGUACAACAAGUGCUUGGCCUUUUUUGUUUGCAAGCAUGUCCUCGAUUCUCAUAAUUUAAGCACUCUUACCAGUAUGUAAAAAUUCACUGGAGUUCUAAUUUGUAUCUUACAGAACAGAAGCCUAAAGUCAUUUGCCAGGAGAACUUACACGUGACUUGAGCUACAGAACCAUGUACUGAAGCUCUAUAGUCCACGUCCCUUCAGCAUCACAUGUUGUAAAAUGAACAGAGAGAAAUACAGCAGUAAGCAGGGGAGGGAAAGGCACAGAGGUGAGUUUGCAUACGAAGGAGUCUUUUGAGGUAUUUCUGCCCUUCUCUCAUUCAGAUCAAACCAACUUGGCACAAUCCUUCCUCUCCUCUCCUACCACCCACUAAAUAGCAGAAGUGGUCCUGAACAAGGAGGUUUUUAGUUUUUUCCUCUUGUUGCUUUAAGCAUGUCAUAUCAUUGCCAUUUCCCAAAGUUGAGAGCAACUGACCUACACUGCAAGUAACAUGUAACUUAACCUCUUUCUUUGACUAAAUCAGCCUGAACCAUUACAAAAAUAUGCCUUCUAUACCCCUGAGUACCAAAACCCAUGCAUUGUUAAAUAUAUUUCUGUUUAAAUAUAUCUAGAUGUACUUUGUUUUUGUAACUUGGUAUAUGCUGCAUACAUACAUGGCUGAUGUGCCACUUCCCAAGAUUACAAAAAGGAGCUGACAUGCUCCAUAAUCUGUAAAUAUGGUCUGAAUACUGCUGAUUUCCAAAUGAAUAACUACAGUUACUUUCUCUACUUCAGUGUUUCCACAGGAGACACUCUUUUGAUCCUAUUAAAUAAAAAUGAAAUGCAGGAAAUUCGUGCUGAGGAAAAGCUACAGUAAUUAACAUAAAACUACAGCCCAGUGCUCUGGCAUGCUGAGCUGAGGGAACCUAUUCAAUGUGAGAGAACACCAACAAACACCCUACAUUCCAAUUUUGUCACAUACAAACUAGAACAGAUGAUAAAAGACCUACACUCCUGGAGGAGAAGGCUCUCACUUCAAGUAAUUUUAAUAAAAUGCCACAGGAAUAAAAUUCAAUUAACAGCAAAAAUCAAAAGUUUGGGGAAUAAACAAUGACAAUUUUCCCAAAUGAUCAGAAUUUUGAUCAAGUACCAUGCAUACAACUGCUACACUCAAGAGAAUCCAUUUUUAGCAUGCAUUCCAGCAGUAAGCAAGCAUCAGCUUGUGAACUAAAACUCAGUUCAGAUCAUACUCACAUCAUCAGUUCUCACACAGAAUCACUUUGAUGCAAACAAGCACUGUAAAAUUGGGUGUGUUACUUAAGUGAGAGACUAACAGACACAUUCACCAGAUCAUGAAUAGUAGCCUGCUCCCAUUAGAGCAUGAAUAGCAAUGGCCGUUUAAGUCAACGCCUGGGAUCAUCCUGUUAUUUGAACUUCAUAUUAUUAACUAUACAUUAUGUUUAAGGACUCUGUGCCAUUUACCUUCUUAAUGUAAAGCCAGUUUUAAGGGACUGUCAGAGCCAGACCUAAUCCAACCCUCCUCUGUUAGGAGCAAUAAAAAGCAGGCUCCAAAAAUGAAACAGUGAAAUGAAUGAAAUUUAGAAAGAAAAAGAAGAUUCCAAUUACUUAAAAAAUAACUGAGAAACUGAUGUGAACUGCAGAAUAGAGCAGAAUCUUCUACGUGAAAUGGACAUGAAAUCUUCUGAUGCAAGCUGCAUCUCCAAAAGAGCUCAGACCAAAACUAUUUCAGCUUCAGAAAGCACAGAAGAACUUGUACGUCCCAGAGCUCACGUUUGUGUCUGUGUGCAAGUGGGUAACAGCAGUAAUAGCUCGAGUGGGCCAAUCUCCUGAAUUCUCUUUGCAUUUGUAAAUGCUACUGAGCAGCAAAAGUAGCAAACUUAGAUAAGAGCAGUUAAUUAAAAAAGGAAACAGUUUUCAUUUCAUUCUCUGGUGUAAGAUUUUUUUUGUUGGCCGGCAUCCCAACAAAGUGCCUUUUUGCAAGCUGAGGGUAUGCCAUGAUGGUUUCAAAGCAUGAAGCACAAGUCAGCAUCUCCUGCCUUUGGGAUCUGGAACAGCUGUGUAAAUAAAAGCUGUGCUGCAUGUAAGGGAAAUAAAGAGAUGCAAGCCUAACCAAAUUCUACCAUCACAAGCAUGGUAAGAUACCUUACUCUUCUUAGGGCACGGGACACAAGACAACACCAGGAACCACAGCAUGUUACCCACAGACAGAUAAAUUAGCAGCAACGCUCUUUUACUCUCCCAAAUAUCACACAUACAGUUGUCUGAACACAGUAGUUCCUUGCAUCCUCAAAGCAUCACAGUGGGAUACAAAUGCUACAGAAUUAUUUUAACUUUCAAAGCUUUCAAAUACACUUUUCCCCCGAGCACAGAGUUAUUCACUACAAUAAUGUGAUAGCCAAUAAAAAAGUAAUAGCUCUGUGCCUUUGUGCAUAUUGGUGAAGUGUCUGACCCUGCAUAUUACAAGAAAUUAUUUGAGGCUAGCAAUGUUUUGAGAUGGUUUACUCUGAGAAAAGAAAACACUGAAGCAGGUUGCCUUGACGACGCUCUGCAGCUACACCAGAAAUCAAAAGGAAAUGUAGGAUCUUCUGCUAUGUUAAUGAUUGCAAAGCAUUCACCAAAUUGAGUUAAAAGCCAACUAAUCCCACGGCGAGUCAACGCUACCUGACCUAUGCAAUAUUAGCUAUCACUUCUUAUCAUAAGCCUUAUUAGAAAAGUGAUGACAAAGCCAGAUGGUACAUGCUUCAGAGCUGAGAGCAGGAAGAAGUAAACAACUUGCUAUCCGGUAAUGACUGCUCCGAGUUUCAUUUGUUCCUAGGAGACCGCCGGUCACGUCUGGCUCUGAGGGUCUGCUCUGGGGGCAGGAGAGGUUCCUAAUGGUGCCCAGGCUUGAUUUCACAACGACAUCCCUGCAGGUUGCUUCCCUUCCAGCAGUCAGCAGCAUAUUCCUAACUAAAAAGCGUAAACACAAACUCUCCAAGUUUUUAGCCGAAAAUAAAUCAAUUCCCUUAACAUAUUUUGCCCUCCCUGAAUUUAUCACGCAUGCCACCAGAUUUCUUCAAAUAAAGAUUUAUCCACACAGUUCUGAAUGAGUCCCUGCAGGCAGACAUAUUUCUUAAGAUUUACUCUUCAUAUGGGAUUGCACUGAGCACCUGGAAGGGAGCUCAAUCAGCUAACACUAGCUAAGAGCUCUACAAACUAGAUUUAGAGUAGUGUUGGUGACAAUUGUUUUGUGAAAAAGGCACCCUGUACUCUCUUAACUCAGACAGAGGGAACAGAAGCAGAUGUGCCCCUGCACAUAAUGUCUGGGUGAGAAACAGGACUCUGUGACUUUCCUUCUGUCCACCUCAGCACUCAAAGCACAAUUCUGACUUUCUUCUGCUGCUUCCAUAGGUAAUCAGCCUUCUAUUGAGGAGCCUUCAGAUUUACUGAUUUUUAAAUUUGAGCAUUACCCUGCACCACACAUUGCCUGUUGGCUCAAACCCUCAUUGGUUACACAGCUCCUCCUGAUCUGAUGGCCUUGGGGCAGCCAGAAUAUCUCUAAUCUCUUCUGUUAAAACAUAGCAUUUGCUUUUGAUCCAGCAGGUAAAUCACUGCCAUACCCCUCCGCUGACAUCUUCCUUAAUCAAGGUGAUUUAACUGGAUCACCACUAAUCCAGGGACUGAUACGACUGACCUGGGCUUUUCCAUAUGCAGUGUGAAAUUUCAGUCAGUCUGUCACAAGACUUCUCUCCAGGACUUAAACACCCUGCUCUGGGCAGCAGUGAAGCAAAUAUCUGCAACUGAGACUUAAACUCUUGAAUUCUGCAUGGCAGUCAGAGCUGGAAUGGAAUCUUGAUCACUUGUAUGACAAGCUGCUGAUUUUUAAAAUAAAUGGUACCAAGGGGAGAAAGAGCAUUCCUUCCUUCUCUUCAAUGACAGCGGGUGGGGACACGAGAAGUUCCACAGAGUUCAGGGGGCAAGACCCACAGAAAUGCAUCUUUUAUCAGAUUUAGAACUGCUAUUUGUCAAUACACAAUAAAAUAAGAAUACAGAAUGCAAGGGGAGUAAAUACUUAGAAGAUACACAGAAUCAUAUAAUGGCUUGGACUGAAAAGGACCUCAAAGAUCAUCUAGUUUCAACCCCCAUGCCAUGGGCAGGGUCACCAACCACUGGAUCAGGCUGCCCAGAGCCACAUCCAGCCUGGAACAUAUAUGUUCAAAAUAAGUUUCUUGCAUUAUCAGUAGACUUACACUGUUUUUUCUCCUGUUUAAUUUAACAGAAACUUAUCAUUUAAUUCUAAAAGAACACCUCCAAUCCUCUUCCAGAUCAGAAAUGCAAUGUACAUUAACUGGUGUAGUGCUUCCCUAAGCAAAAAUAAUGACUUGUUCUUUCUUAAUGAUCAGCAGGUACUACAAGGCAGCAAUGGCAUAUUACUGAUGCUACACAUAAGAAAGGCACUAUUUGUAAAGCAUUUCAAAGGGAAAACAAAAUCAAGAGAGAAAACAGACAUAUCUGACACCCCAGAAUAAUCUGUUGGGAUAAGCCAUCAAAGGAAAAGAUCAGAUACCAGAAGUCUUAAGCAGACUGCCAAAUUUAAAUACAAAAAAUACUCUGAAGAAUGACAGACACGGUGGAGAAAUCUCCAUAUGAAGGUAUUUCUGGAUUCUAAGUGCUUUAAUCCAUUUCAUACUCAAAUAUUUUGAAACAGUUCCUGUUUCUACUCUGCUUUUGAUACCAAAUUCAAGUGAUACAAAAGGCAGGUGCUACUUUAUCAGGAUCUCAUCCUUUUUAAUGAAAAAGUGAUUUGCUCAGGAUGAAGCUAUUACCUGAGGAAGCUCAAUAAGAAACUGACACAAGCUUAUUGUCACUUUGUAAUUCCCUGCUUGAUAAAUAAGGUUAUUAUAGACAAGAAUUUCUGUGCUAUGCACUGCAAAUUGUAAAAAGUACAGCAACCAUAUUAUUUAUACAGCCACAGACAGUCACAACUGAGACCAGGAGAAAUAAGAACAGACACGGUAAGCAAUGCUUAAUAUUUAAUCCCUAAAUUUAUAUUUAGACAAGUAAUUAGACCUCCCAAAAUACACGAGACACGUGUACUGCCUGUUGAUCAUUACUUAAAAAGAUAUCAAAAUUCAGUAAAAUGAUGAACCUAAGCUGUAUUUGGCAUCUGAUACUUUCGGGGACUCUGUAAUUAGAUUACUAGUCCAUACAGGGACAGGGGUUUUGAUUUUAAUGGAGAUAUAUUGAAUUAUAUUCACCUAAUACACUGCUCAUUGUCGCCUUUGGGUGCUAACAGCCAUAAAGAUGGUAAUUCACCGGUUGAGUUGGAACAGUUUUGUGUUAUAGUUAAGUCCUGCUUUUGUGAUGCUACCAAAACAUGUAGGUAUCUGGAAUUUAGUUCUGUGGCCUGUGAGUU